rnacentral:rRNA from 1 species
CGGUAAUACAGAGGGUGCGAGCGUUAAUCGGAAUUACUGGGCGUAAAGCGCGCGUAGGCGGCUUGUUAAGUCAAAUGUGAAAUCCCCGAGCUUAACUUGGGCAUUGCAUUCGAUACUGGCAAGCUAGAGUAUGGGAGAGGAAGGUAGAAUUCCAGGUGUAGCGGUGAAAUGCGUAGAGAUCUGGAGGAAUACCGAUGGCGAAGGCAGCCUUCUGGCCUAAUACUGACGCUGAGGUGCGAAAGCAUGGGGAGCAAACAGGAUUAGAUACCCUGG